AAUGGCGUCAAUGAUGACCAGACUUUUUUCCCCAGCAGAUCGACUCUGUUGACUUUUUUAAAAAAAAUUAAGCCAAAGUGUCUGAGCCAUU